rnacentral:rRNA from 1 species
GAUGAACGCUGGCGGCGUGCCUAAUACAUGCAAGUCGAGCGAACAGACGAGGAGCUUGCUCCUCUGACGUUAGCGGCGGACGGGUGAGUAACACGUGGAUAACCUACCUAUAAGACUGGGAUAACUUCGGGAAACCGGAGCUAAUACCGGAUAAUAUAUUGAACCGCAUGGUUCAAUAGUGAAAGACGGUUUUGCUGUCACUUAUAGAUGGAUCCGCGCCGCAUUAGCUAGUUGGUACGGUAACGGCUUACCAAGGCAACGAUGCGUAGCCGACCUGAGAGGGUGAUCGGCCACACUGGAACUGAGACACGGUCCAGACUCCUACGGGAGGCAGCAGUAGGGAAUCUUCCGCAAAGGGCGAAAGCCUGACGGAGCAACGCCGCGUGAGUGAUGAAGGUCUUCGGAUCGUAAAACUCUGUUAUUAGGGAAGAACAAAUGUGUAAGUAACUAUGCACGUCUUGACGGUACCUAAACAGAAAGCCACGGCUAACUACGUG